rnacentral:lncRNA from 1 species
UGAGAGAAUAAAAUGCAAAAGGAGAGAUUAAAGGCUCAUUGGGAUCUUUUCUGGAAUUCCUUUUGCAGUCCUCCUCAGACUAAGUCACCCAACUAUAAUUAACUCAAUUGAUCUGACAAUUCUUCACUUGUGUUCGUGUCUCUCUGUACAAAUAAUAUACAUGAAUAUAAUUUUUGUUUCUUUCUCAUUGGAUUACAGUUUAUAAAGGGCUAAAAUUGUAUCUUUUACUUCAGUAUUUCUCCAUGCUGAUGGGAGUCUUAAAAUGCUGUUUCUCGCCAUUAAGAGACAAUACUUCAAACAUUGCCAAAUGCCCUGAAAAUUACCCAUCAGACAAUGAUAAAAUGACUGAAAGCUGGAUGGAAGAAGA